rnacentral:rRNA from 1 species
AGCAUAUCAAUAAGCGGAGGAAAAGAAACCAACAGGGAUUGCCCUAGUAACGGCGAGUGAAGCGGCAACAGCUCAAAUUUGAAAUCUGGCUCUCUUUGGGGGUCCGAGUUGUAAUUUGCAGAGGAUGCUUUGGCAUUGGCGGCGGUCUAAGUUCCUUGGAACAGGACAUCGCAGAGGGUGAGAAUCCCGUACGUGGGCGCCUGCCUUUGCCGUGUAAAGCUCCUUCGACGAGUCGAGUUGUUUGGGAAUGCAGCUCUAAAUGGGAGGUAAAUUUCUUCUAAAGCUAAAUACCGGCCAGAGACCGAUAGCGCACAAGUAGAGUGAUCGAAAGAUGAAAAGUACUUUGGAAAGAGAGUCAAAAAGCACGUGAAAUUGUUGAAAGGGAAGCGCUUGCAGCCAGACUUGCCCGCAGUUGCUCACCUAGGCUUUGGCCUGGGGCACUCUUCUGCGGGCAGGCCAGCAUCAGUUUGGGCGGUUGGAUAAAGGCCUCUGUCACGUAUCUUCCUUCGGGAUGACCUUAUAGGGGAGGCGUAAUGCAACCAGCCCGGACUGAGGUCCGCGCAUCUGCUAGGAUGCUGGCGUAAUGGCUGUAAGCGGCCCGUCUUGAAACACGGACCAAGGAGUCUAACAUCUAUGCGAGUGUUUGGGUGUCAAGCCCGGGCGCGCAAUGAAAGUGAACGGAGGUGGGAACCCUUUGGGUGCACCAUCGACCGAUCCUGAUGUCUUCGGAUGGAUUUGAGUAAGAGCAUAGCUGUUGGGACCCGAAAGAUGGUGAACUAUGCUUGAAUAGGGUGAAGCCAGAGGAAACUCUGGUGGAGGCUCGCAGCGGUUCUGACGUGCAAAUCGAUCGUCAAAUUUGGGCAUAGGGGCGAAAGACUAAUCGAACC